GGGGGAUAUUGCACAAUGGGGGAAACCCUGAUGCAGCGACGCCGCGUGAGUGAAGAAGUAUUUCGGUAUGUAAAGCUCUAUCAGCAGGGAAGAAAAAAGACGGUACCUUGACUAAGAAGCCCCGGCUAACUACGUGCC
rnacentral:rRNA from 1 species